ACAACUGGGUUUCCAAGGAAACCAGAAAGCCCAAUUUAUAAAACUAUGAAACAAAGCAACUGUAAAGGCAACACUAGACACAGAAGAGUUGGAUGGAUGAGUCAUUUUCCCCAGACUGAUGGCAUCAUGAAGGCCUGAAGGUGUCACCAACUCCUCUCCUGCAACAUCAGCUGAACAGAUACAGUCCUCGCUUAGACCACCCUCAGAGAGCACAGUUUGUAAACCUCAUGAAAAUGGAAGUUGUAGAAAGCACUAAAAGUUGCUAAAAUACUUUCAUAUGAAAAAGACUCAAAUCCACCCACUGGAUUAGACAAAAACCUGAGCUGAAUGAGUCCCAGCUAUCUACCUAGAAUUUUAUUUUCAUUCCUCAUUUGUCUUCCUUGCUCCCAGUGGAGAGAAGGGGAUAUACAAACAGAUGGCUGCAGUUAGAAAAAGGCAAUAGUUGCCUCAGAAACCCAGCUCCUGGGAUAACUGACCGACCAGCUGACUUUAAAGUCCAAGUUCUUUCCAUCAACCCAACAUGCUCCUGCCAGACAGAAAGGGCUCACAGGCCGGGUCAGGGCUCCAGCUGUCAUAGAAGCAAGAGAACUCACCACCAGAAGGCAAUCACAAAGCCAGUAGACUUGUAAACGUCCCCCAAAUGUUCUCAGCACACUAUGGAAGGGCUUUAGAAAACCUAUCUUCAGUACAGCAGUGGAACACUAAGAGAACUUAGAAUUCAUUUUACAGCGAGCUAGAAUGCAAUUUACAGAAAACUAACUUUUGUUGAAAUGAAUCUAAGCCUUAAAAUAUACAUCACUGCAGGUACCCAUAAUUGACCACAUCCUCAGAGGAGCUCAAAGUGAAAAAAAAAAGGAUUUAAAUCUUCCCAAUUUGGAGGCACUAACAGCUACCUAAGGACAGGUGUAGCUCAUGAGUCCUAAAUGUUGACCAAAGAUAUGUGACCUAAAAUAGCACAUUCUAUUCUGAACACUUUAAUUCUGUAAGUGAAGUGUCAUUAUGAUUCUUAAACUUCUUUUUCUUUGAAAUUAUCUAUUUCCAUCAAUUCAUAGCUCUAAUAAAUCAUGAGGAUGGUUUAACAUGUGCUCUGAGCUUUUGUAGAAAAUUUUAAUCUGACAUUUUAAAGUGUAAGCUAAAUUACAUUUAUCAACUGUUUUUUUUACUCCAAUUGCAAACAAAACUAAAAAGUAUUACACUCCCUUUUGCUACACAGGUAGUGUAGCAAAUCAACAGUACACAAUCUUUAUACCAAGAAUGAAGGGUUUUAAUAUGCUUGCAGAAGUUAAUUAGAACUGUCACAGAAAAGUUCUACUAAUAAAAAAGGAAAAAUACCACUGCUGCUAAUAGCUACAGAAAACCUCCUUUUCCAUUCCAAAUAAAUCCUAUCAGAUUCUAAAUGUCUUACAUUUUAUCUGAAAACCUCUAGUUUCCACAUUUUCUAUGCUUAUCAACUCCUAUAGCCAAGGUCAGAUGUAAUAAUAAUUUGUACCACUUUUUUAACUUGUAAGAGGAAGACAUAUCUUAAGCACUCUAAACUCAAGAGUCGACCAAAUUAUUUUUACUUCAGAUUAGAAUUAGAUAUUAAAAGCCAAAAAGAAGAAAAUAAAGACCAUUUUGUGAUAUCUGAUUCAUAGAUUCCAAUUAAUCAUCAUCAUUUCCUGUAAUCAAAUAAACUCCUAUAUUAAACACCU